UUUAUUAUUUUGCACGCGGGGCGUUCACAUUUGUGCAUUCCUUAACUGUCUGCCAUUUAUCAGCUGUGAUUGGCGGCUCAACCUCCACUUUUCCCACCCGACGAAGUAAAAUUUCAAUUACGCAUAUUUCAUAAUUGCCUCUUCUUGUUUUUACGGCCAAUCGUAAAACGAGACGUGCCACAAUCAUCAAUACUAGCAAAGCUAGCAAAAUAAAUGGGAGGACUAGAAUUGAUGCCAACACACUUCAACAAUUAAAGCAUAAAUUUCUACAAUGCCUCGAAUCACAUUUUGGCCAAAGCAACACAAUGAUGAUGAUAACUUAAUGGGCGUACCGUUUUGGUCCGCUUCUCGUCUGGCUGACCAGGUGUUGAGGUUGAUGUAAUGCCCGUCAGCGUUUUGGGCUACAAUUUAUUGCAUAACAGCCCCAGAAUCAAUAAAAUACAUUAGCCAAAGAAUGACAGAAAUUUACAAGUGAAUAGAGCGACAGCCAGCGACGACGAGCAGACAACAAGUUGGCUGAUUGAUUUUGUUGGCUUUGGGAAAUUCAAUUUGAAAUACACACAAAAAUCAAUCAAAAAUGCUGCGAACAAGUCACUGAAGCAGCACGGGCAAUAAUUGGCAAAAAAAAAAAAAGAAGAAAAGCAAAGUCAAAAUGUGUUUAUAAAAUAAAAUCAAAAACCGCAAAUGAAAUUAGCGUUGAGCUGGGACGGAAAGAGAGCGGGUGUUAAGCAGUAAACAGGAAAAUUGAAGGGCGUUGCUGCCAGGCCAACACAUGUAUCUAGACGCAAUUUAGUGGCCAUAAGUCAGUCAGAGGUCGUGGCUUGUUUAGUACGUGUAUCUCGCAGAUAAACGCCGAUUAUGCGGCUAUUUUUAUGCGGCGGCAAAAGCGACUGAGAAACGAAAAUAAAGAAACAAAAGAAUAGAGUCGAAAACCAGUUUUGUGGCCACUUUUGUAAUCAACGUUUAAUUGAAAAUUGAGCCCAGCACUUUGCCAAAUCAAAAACAUACAUUCAAGAGAAUAAAUAAAGCUGUUGGCUGCUUACUGUUUGCUUCUCGCCCACUCUUAAAAAUUGGGCCCCCGCAUUAUCAACUUGAGUUUUGUGGCCAAAAAGUAGCCAAAUGUUUUGGCCCGAGGGCAGCGCCGGCAAUUAACUGAGAGUAAUUGCAGUCGUAAAUUGAUUUGUCAUUGCAUUUAAAAUCUGAAUCGAUUAAUCUUCAAAUCAAAAUCUAUGAAUCUAUAAAUAAAUGUUUAUUAAGGCAGCCAACUCUCUUUUUUUCUGUCCGUCCGUCUGUCGAAUAGAAAUUUCAUGCAAAUUCUUUGAUAUCACGGCAAAAUGGAACAAAUGUCGUCUAAACCAUAUUUCAGCACUUUUACGCGAAUUGUGAAAGUGUCGAAAUCGAACUGGAAUCACAGCCACGCCACAGCAUGCCACCUCAGAUCAGCUCAGACCACCGCAUACCACACCGCACCGCACCGCACACACACCUUUCCACCCGCACGGUAGCCGAAAAAAAAGAUCUCGAGUUGAAAAUCGUGAUUUUCUUGAAAUGUUUCUGCCACUUUGCGGACAUCGUUGUGAGCCUAGAUUUCGCGUAAAAAUUGUUAACAGCAGCUGCGCACAAGACUCUUCCUUCUCUCUCUUCGUCUCUCUCUCUCUCUCUCUCGCUGUAGGCCUGGUCAAAAAGUGCAGUCUAAUGCCGCUGAGAUCGUUGCAUUUGUUAUUCAAGUCUGCGCGUUCGCAUCACAAUUAAGCUGAAGAAACAUGUGUAACUCCAACUCGAGUACGAAGUUAACAGGCAGGUCAACAGCGACGUCUUCGAGUGACGCCCACGCGGUCGGUACUUGCCGCUGCAACUGUUGCAAGUGGCACGUUAAUGAGCCCCGCAAAGUUGUUGCACUUGAUAAAUUGCGCAAAAUGGACAAAAAGAAAACACAGACGUACUACGAAUUAUGGCCAGAAAACUGGGCGAGGAACUAUGCUAUGCUAUGUGCUAUGUGCGCGUCAACUAACGGCAUUUUGUUAACAAGAAAGAUCCUGUCCACUAAUUCCUAUUCAGAAGUGCUCGAGAUCUGCGCUUCAGGCUUCAUUAGCCAGCGUAUGACUUGGACAAAUAGUAAAAGUUCCCAACAAGUUGCGAUGGCUGGCUUCCUGGUUGUCUGGUUAACUGGCUGCUGUGCUGUGGCUGUGGCUGCUUUGGCUAAUGCGAUGCACUUGCCUUAGAGAGAUGCUCGCGUAUGCGUAUGAUGACUUAAUUGCGCAUUUUAACAGACAAACCCAGACACCGACUGAGCGAGAGAUGCAGACAUCUGGCCUUUGAGAGAGCUGUGUUUUGACAGGCGACGAUUAGACUUGAGUCAAUUCUGUUCCCUAGCAUCUUUUGGUUAAUUGAAAUGUUGCUGUUUGUUUGAUGUCCCACACACACACACAGACAGACACAGCUGCACGAGUCCAUUAACAGUUAACAAGGAAAUGCAAUCGGAGCAAUGCGGCAUUUCAAAGUGUGCUCAAGUUAAUCCUUUUAUGCCUCACUGCACAACUUUGCAGAACGACUGUGAGAAAGUAUUGAAAGUAUCUUUCACUCAAAGUUCUAUUGCUAGUCGAGUUGUAUGUGUGAUGCAUAUGAUGCCGUCAUUAAUUAUAUGCCACACUUCCGUUUGGCCUGGCCCCCGGCCAUGUUGCAAGUGCAACACACAUCACACGAAGCGCAUCCAACCCAUUUGGUCAUACUUGGCUGACCCGAGUUGUUGCUUCUAGCUUCAUGGUCAGCUGCCUCUUGCGUCGCGUUGCAACCACAAGAACAAUGGGGUUGGCCUCCAGGUUCUUCUGCCGCAGGGUUGAGCCUAGCUGUUCCACUCACUUCUUUGCAUGUUGUAUUUCCUUCUUUUUUUGGUAAUUGUCGCGUUUUGUUAGGGGUCGCAAACAGUUUCCAGUUUCCCACGUUACAACAGGUUGUGGCACCUGUAAAGCGCCUCAGUCUCAGUCUGAGUGUGAGUCUCAGUUCAAGUUCCAGACACAUCCAUCAGCGAUGAUGUUAUACGCUUCGUUGAUUCGCUGCCAGCGUUUGUCAUACGAGACCAGACAAUAAAUUUAAUGGCAUUUUCUGUCUGUGUUUUUGUAUCACUUUCUUGUUGUUGUCCGAUUUCUUUUCUUCUCGUUUCUACGAAAAUUUCUUAUUUACUGUGUCAAUUAUAUUUAUUUUCUUUGCUGCCCAUCUAUAACAAUUUUUCUGCUUUGCUUUUUCAUUCUUAAUUUAAUCAACUUUGCUUCGCUUUUUAUUUCUCUUUUUUUUAAUCUUUUUGAUGUGCUUUAAUUUGAUGUGAAGCCAACACAAUUACAUUUAUCAUCAUCGUCACAUCAGCGGCACAGCAUCUCUCGCUGCUGUACUCGUAUUAUUUUUCCUCCAUCUCAACUCAUCAAAUUAAAGAGAAAUAUCUAAUUUAUGUCUAAGAACUGUGGGAGUUUUUCCAGCCACGAAAUCUACACGUACUUUUCAGUUCGCAUAUCAUUGCCACCCAAUCUACAGCAAUUACAUACUAAGCUGAGAGCUGGCUUCCAAUUGUCUUUGGGGGAAUGGGAACUAACUGCCAUUAAUUUAAUAAGACUUAAAAGCAGCAGUAACGUUUGUUUUUUUCAUUCCAAAUUGCCAACUAAUUGGCUAACUAUUUCACAGCUCGAAAAAAAGAAUAAAAACCAAACUAUUCAUUAUAAUCCAGUUUAUUUGGUAGUUUGAUUGUUAUAAAUUUAAACAAUGAAAAAAACUUGGCAAUCAAGUUGGUGAAACAUGAACUUGAAACUGAAUUUCAUAGAUUGAAUUUGGUAUUCGAAUUUGCAAAAAUGUUGAGCUUGUGAGGGGAGAUUGAAUUACAGCAGAAGAACAAGAACAUUUUGCAUAAAUUAGAGCGAAGCACAUGCAACAUGGAAAUCGCUGAAACGUGUCCAAAGUCGCUGACAAGCAGUCAGUGGCAUACAGUGGCGCAUGCAGCAUUGGGGGCAUGGGGCAAGGGCAGUGUUCUUGUUCUCCGUCUUGUUCUUGUUGCAGUGGUUGGAGUCCGCAUAAAAUUAUCCAAAAGCUGUUAAUGACAGAGCGAGACUGCGAAUCGAGGAAUCGCGCUCAACAAAAACUCAACACAGCGGCGAAUCGAAACGACUCGAUUUGAGUUAAGUUUAGAGAAAGAGAGACUAAUGCCACAUGGUGCAUGCAACAACGCCGACACUCAAGAUGCAGUUCUCCACCUCUUCUUCUUCUGCAGUCAGAUUAAUUAUGCAUUUUAGCCAAUGUUGUUGACUAUGCUGAGAUGCUGCCGCUGCCGCUGUUGAUGCCAAAGCUGAUGCCGAUGCUGAUGCAGCAGUUGCUACAUGUUGCGACUGCGCAAAUGCAGCUUAUCGGCAACCUGCGCCUAGGCUGCUGCUGCUGCCUGUCUAACGGCACUCUUGCACUAAAUCACUCGCGGUACUUAAAGAGGCGUUGCUGUUGCUGUUGCUGUUACUGUUGUUGCUGCACACACAAAACUUGUGCAACGGGCUCCAGUUCAGCUACAGGUUGGCGGCCCAUGAAGCACUCAAAUGUUAGGCGCAGACAGGCAACAAACAACACAACAAACAACGCACACAAAAUGUGUGCAUGCUCAUAAAAAAUGCAUAAACUUUUGAGCGACAUCAACACGUGUUGCACACACACACACAAAGCCACAGCUACAGACGUGGUUGCAUGUACAACGCUUAUCGCUGCUGUUGUUGUCGCUAGGCCAUUGUUCGUGUGUGACGUAAACUCAGUCAAAUGCAGCAGUUGCCCCCAAGUCAAAAAAACUAUACAACACAAAAAGAGCUUUUUUUUAAAUAUUAUACGCUCGCUUUUUACUACUGCAACUGGUUCCGUUUAUUUUUUAAUUUUUUGACAGUCAACAUGACCCCGCCCACUUUGGGGGCAAUUCGGAAAGACAAUGAAAGACGGCGAGAAAAAGAUAGACUAUAAAAAAACAGAGAAACACGCAACAAGGUCAGAGCACUGCGACUAAGGUUAAGACUGUGGCUUAGACUAAGGCCAGCGAUUUCGUAAUGGGUCUAGAAAGAGAGCGGGAAGGAGGGAAUGAAGAAGGGAGGGAGCGAGCAGAAGUAGCCUGCUUUGACACGCCCACAGCACAACAUUUUAAUUUAACAGCGUUCGAUUCUGGAGCAGCCCCCACACUGACGAGGCGUGCUCCAUGAAAUCUUCUUAAAUGGCAGCUACGAUCUCUUGAAAGAUCGUGUGCUACGCCAUGCAGAUAAUACAGGGAUUGGGAUUCAGUUCAAGCUUUGGCAUUGGCCUUCGAAUUCUCAUAGUCUUGGCUAAAUUGGGAGCUGACGUUUAUCUUUUGACCAAUUGUGAAAGUAAUUUAAUGCGGAUUGAUUCGGUGGCUGCUUCUAUCUCUCUCUCUCUCUCUCGUUGUAUCUCCCUCUCUUUUUUUUCAAUUACAAAGAAUUGCAUGUUUCGUUUUAAUUUCCACGUAGUUCAAUUGCCGUCUCAGUCUCCUUCUCCACUUCUCCGUUUCUGCGUGUCGUAGUGCACUUCUUUCUGGGAAACUGGUUGUGUGCCUAAAUGAUUUUGAACCAGUUACGUGUAACUGCUGCUCCUCCUGCUCCGACUCCGACUUCGUCUACGACUGCUGUUUCCAGUUCUGUGGAAACUGCGUGUCUAAAAUUUAAUGAAAUCGCGGUAAUAUCCAAUAGGAAAGAAAGCAACAUUGAAAUGCAUUCGCGUUGCUUUACUUCAAAUGCCCUGCCAAUCAGCCUCGAUGUUAUUGCUGCUGCUGCUGCUGCUGUGGAUAAUUGAGAGAUAUUAUUAUUAGCUAUGUAUGUAUGUUAGGCGGCACGGCAUUGGCAUUUUGAAUUGAACGUGCUGCUGAAAUGUUGCCUAAUGAGCUAUGAAUUGAGUUGCAUAAGACUACAAAUGCUCAAAUUAACUCGAUGAGUCAAUCUUGAAUGCAACACAAUGACUUUGAGUGUUACGGAUUAAACGGAUAAGUCAAAUUUUAUAUGCAUAUAACUCUAUUUGCAUGUCAAAAUGAAGAAAUUAGUCUCAAAAGAGUUUAUAAUAAGUGAGAAAAAAGCAAUUAAAGCAGGACAAUUGUGAAGCAAAAUGACUUCAAGUGUUUUGGAUAAUACGGAUAAGUUAAAUUUU